GACGAACGCUGGCGGCGUGCUUAACACAUGCAAGUCGAGCGGAAAGGCCCUUCGGGGUACUCGAGUGGCGAACGGGUGAGUAACACGUGGGUGAUCUGCCCUGCACUUUGGGAUAAGCCUGGGAAACUGGGUCUAAUACCGAAUAGGACCACGCGCUUCAUGGUGUGUGGUGGAAAGCUUUUGCGGUGUGGGAUGGGCCCGCGGCCUAUCAGCUUGUUGGUGGGGUAAUGGCCUACCAAGGCGACGACGGGUAGCCGGCCUGAGAGGGUGACCGGCCACACUGGGACUGAGAUACGGCCCAGACUCCUACGGGAGGCAGCAGUGGGGAAUAUUGCACAAUGGGCGCAAGCCUGAUGCAGCGACGCCGCGUGAGGGAUGACGGCCUUCGGGUUGUAAACCUCUUUCAUUAGGGACGAAGCGCAAGUGACGGUACCUAUAGAAGAAGCACCGGCCAACUACGUG
rnacentral:rRNA from 1 species